CAUACACACACACCAAUUACUUCCUUUCAUUUUAGUUGUUCCUCUUGUUCACAAUAAUACAAUAUAAAAUUAAUACAUAAAUUCAUAACACAUAUUUUAAACCAACAUUUUUCAUGAUUAGAAAGAAGCAGUAAGAAUGAUCUGUUUAAUGGUAGGCUAGUAGGAUGGUUCUGUCACUGAUUACUUAUAUCCUUUUAAGAGUCUCCUGCGGCGGUUUGUAAAGCAAGAGUUCCUGCAAGAUGCCACUUCCCUGAGGCUGACCAAAAUUGACGUUGCUGAUGAAGUGAAUAGGGUAUCCUAAAAGAAUGUUGACAUAGGACUGGGUGCUGAAUCUGCCAUCAAGGCACUUCAGAGCAAGCCAGGAAGCAGGGGAGGUGAGCUUUUAGUUCUCACCUUCAGGAAAGAGUGCAUGCAGGGCCUGGUUAUGAUUGUUCAGAAAGUGCAGGUGAAAAGUCCCCUGAAAAUUCCAGUGGUCAGGGCCAUUGGAUGUCUGGACCCCAGAAGCAUGCACAGCGAUGCAGAAGGGUCCCUCACAAAGAUUAAGACUGUAGUACAAACAAUGCUGCAGGACAAGAAGUUGGCAGGAGGCGUCUCUGCUGGUGAUGUAAUCAUACAACAGUUCCAGAGCUUUCUCUCUCGAGGCGAGAGAUGAGAGAUUCUCCUCCUUCCAGCCACUGAAGGAGCGACUUGAUGUCUUCCUGCAUUCAGCCCUCAGCAAGUCUUAUCCAGAGCUAUAUAAGUUUUCUCAGAGCCUUCUACUUCUGUCCCACGGACAAGCCACGGUGGAAAGAGGGUUUUCCAUCAACAAGGAGGUUGAAACAUGCAACAUCCUUGAAAAGUCGAUCGAAGCUUUGAGGCUGAUAUGUGACAAGAUCAGUGUCUGUGGGGGUGUUUUGAAGG
ensembl:lncRNA